CUCUACACAAAUACCACCCUGAAGGCCCUGCCCUUGCCGGAUCUUGAAAGCCAAGCAGGGUGGGACCUGAAUAGCACUGGGAUAGUGUGUGAU
rnacentral:rRNA from 1 species